rnacentral:rRNA from 1 species
GCUACGGGUGGCAGCAGUGGGGAAUAUUGGGCAAUGGGCGCAAGCCUGACCCAGCAACGCCGCGUGAAGGAAGAAGGCUUUCGGGGUGUAAAAUUCUGUUAAGAGGGAAGAGCAGAAGAAGGUACCUCUUGAAUAAGCCAGGGCUAACGACGUGCCAGCAGCCGGGGUAAUACGUAGGUGGCAAGCGUUGUCCGUAUUUACUGGGUGUAAAGGGCGUGAAGCCGGGAAGACAAGUCAGAUGUGAAAUCCCGAGGCUCAACCGCGGAACUGCAUUUGCAACUGUUUUUCUUGAGUACCGUAGAGUUCAUCGGACUUCCUUGUGUCGCGGUGCAAUGCGUAGAUAUAAGGCA